ACGGUUUUUUAGGCAGAAAACAUUGAACAUUGAAAACUUUAAUCAUAAUUUUUACGCGUAAAAAGAUUCUUUAACGUAUAUAUUCAUUCAUUACCAACUUACACUUGAGAGUGCGCUCAAACUGUUUCAACCCAAUAAAUUAGUUGCUAUCGCCGGCACUUCUAGCGAAUUUGCCAGUGAACAUACAGUUCAAGUGCUUGAUAUAAUCAUAGCCAACUCAUUCAACUUUGCUCAUUCAACUUGGCUAUUCUGCGUUUAAAUAGUAAUUUGCCUUUGGACAUAUGAAACGACCUUAAGUGGGUCAUUUUGGACGAUAUCGAUAACUCUGAUAAUUCAUGUUUAGCAAAUUUUUACUUCAGAAAUGAACGUCAUUUUUAUGGAACGCAUCCCACGCGAAUAAGGAACUUUUACUGUACAUUAUAAGACAAAGAUUGAAGAAUUCCAAUUUCAUCGGUCCAACUUGACGGCUCUAUGGCAACCAUUAUGCUGACGUAUGCGCGACUGAUAAACGCUCGAGUGAUUUUGCAAACAGACAACGAAUCCAUCAUGUGGUUUAGAGUCCCUAUGCUGAAGCGAAGUCGCAUAUUGCUACAGUUUCGUUCUGAUCGCAAAUUGAAAGUGCUUAUAAAAUACGCCCGAUCUGCUUACGAUAGAAAAACUUAAUAAUUUUGCGCACGUUCUUGAAAUCUUCAUUGCUUUAUAGCAAAAUGACAGACAGAGAUUAGACUUUUAAUUUAACCGAAAACACUAAUAAUCUCAAAAGAAGAUGAACUCCACAUGAGAGCAACCCAAGAUCUUCCAACUGAAAUAAAAGAAGUAUUUUGCGAAAGAAAUCAUAUUCAAAACUGCCGCUUAUAAGUAAGUCCGUCUGAUUAAUAUUCAAUGAAGUUUAACGUUUUUAUUAGUUUAUAAUAUAUAAAACAAAAAUUUGAUUAUUACAAUGUUUUUUUUUUUAAUAUGCUCAUGGAUUAGUUUGCACUAUUGCGUUAGAGCUUUGAACAAAAAUGAAGUAACAAAACAAUUAUUUAAAGACUUUUGAAAGAAUGAAAAUUUUAUAAAUCUAUAAAAAAAAAAAAAAACAAAAGUAUUUUACUAAAAUAAGUCAUGACUCAUGAGUAUCACAUCACAUUAACUCUCAACAUUUAACUCAUCAGAUAAAAAAAAAAAAAAA